rnacentral:rRNA from 1 species
AGCGAACGCUGGCGGCAGGCCUAACACAUGCAAGUCGAACGGACCCUUCGGGGUUAGUGGCGGACGGGUGAGUAACACGUGGGAACGUGCCUUUAGGUUCGGAAUAGCUCCUGGAAACGGGCGGUAAUGCCGAAUGUGCCCUUCGGGGGAAAGAUUAUCGCCAUUAGAGCGGUCCGCGUCUGAUUAGCUAGUUGGUGGUGUAACGGACCACCAAAGCGACGAUCAGGAGCUGGUUUGAGAGGAUGAUCAGCCACAUUGGGGCUGAGACACGGCCCAAACUCCUACGGGAGGCAGCAGCGGGGAAUCUUGCGCAAUGGGCGAAAGCCUGACGCAGCCAUGCCGCGUGAAUGAUGAAGGUCUUAGGAUUGUAAAAUUCUUUCACCGGGGACGAUAAUGACGGUACCCGGAGAAGAAGCCCCGGCUAACUUCGUGCCAGCCGCCGCGGUAAUAC